rnacentral:rRNA from 1 species
AGAGUUUGAUCCUGGCUCAGAUUGAACGCUGGCGGCAUGCCUUACACAUGCAAGUCGAACGGCAGCACGGGAGCUUGCUCCUGGUGGCGAGUGGCGAACGGGUGAGUAAUAUAUCGGAACGUACCCUAGAGUGGGGGAUAACGCAGCGAAAGUUGCGCUAAUACCGCAUACGAUCUACGGAUGAAAGUGGGGGAUCGCAAGACCUCAUGCUCAUGGAGCGGCCGAUAUCUGAUUAGCUAGUUGGUGGGGUAAAGGCCUACCAAGGCAUCGAUCAGUAGCUGGUCUGAGAGGACGACCAGCCACACUGGAACUGAGACACGGUCCAGACUCCUACGGGAGGCAGCAGUGGGGAAUUUUGGACAAUGGGGGCAACCCUGAUCCAGCAAUGCCGCGUGAGUGAAGAAGGCCUUCGGGUUGUAAAGCUCUUUUGUCAGGGAAGAAACGGUGAGGGCUAAUAUCCUUUGCUAAUGACGGUACCUGAAGAAUAAGCACCGGCUAACUACGUGCCAGCAGCCGCGGUAAUACGUAGGGUGCAAGCGUUAAUCGGAAUUACUGGGCGUAAAGCGUGCGCAGGCGGUUAUGUAAGUCAGAUGUGAAAUCCCCGGGCUCAACCUGGGAAUGGCAUUUGAGACUGCAUGGCUAGAGUGUGUCAGAGGGGGGUAGAAUUCCACGUGUAGCAGUGAAAUGCGUAGAGAUGUGGAGGAAUACCGAUGGCGAAGGCAGCCCCCUGGGAUAACACUGACGCUCAUGCACGAAAGCGUGGGGAGCAAACAGGAUUAGAUACCCUGGUAGUCCACGCCCUAAACGAUGUCUACUAGUUGUCGGGACUUAAUUGUCUUGGUAACGCAGCUAACGCGUGAAGUAGACCGCCUGGGGAGUACGGUCGCAAGAUUAAAACUCAAAGGAAUUGACGGGGACCCGCACAAGCGGUGGAUGAUGUGGAUUAAUUCGAUGCAACGCGAAAAACCUUACCUACCCUUGACAUGUACGGAACCUCUGAGAGAUUAGAGGGUGCUCGAAAGAGAGCCGUAACACAGGUGCUGCAUGGCUGUCGUCAGCUCGUG